rnacentral:rRNA from 1 species
UGAGACUCUCGGAUCGGGUUUUGGGAACCGGCAACGGAUCCUUUCUUCUGAGAAGUUUGUCAAACUUGGUCAUUUAGAGGAAGUAAAAGUCGUAACAAGGCUUCCGUAGGUGAACCUGCGGAAGGAUCAUUA